GGGUGAGUAACACGUGGGUAACCUGCCCAAGAGACUGGGAUAACACCUGGAAACAGAUGCUAAUACCGGAUAACAACACUAGACGCAUGUCUAGAGUUUAAAAGAUGGUUCUGCUAUCACUCUUGGAUGGACCUGCGGUGCAUUAGCUAGUUGGUAAGGUAACGGCUUACCAAGGCAAUGAUGCAUAGCCGAGUUGAGAGACUGAUCGGCCACAUUGGGACUGAGACACGGCCCAAACUCCUACGGGAGGCAGCAGUAGGGAAUCUUCCACAAUGGACGCAAGUCUGAUGGAGCAACGCCGCGUGAGUGAAGAAGGGUUUCGGCUCGUAAAGCUCUGUUGGUAGUGAAGAAAGAUAGAGGUAGUAACUGGCCUUUAUUUGACGGUAAUUACUUAGAAAGUCACGGCUAACUACGUGCCAGCAGCCGCGGUAAUACGUAGGUGGCAAGCGUUGUCCGGAUUUAUUGGGCGUAAAGCGAGUGCAGGCGGUUCAAUAAGUCUGAUGUGAAAGCCUUCGGCUCAACCGGAGAAUUGCAUCAGAAACUGUUGAACUUGAGUGCAGAAGAGGAGAGUGGAACUCCAUGUGUAGCGGUGGAAUGCGUAGAUAUAUGGAAGAACACCAGUGGCGAAGGCGGCUCUCUGGUCUGCAACUGACGCUGAGGCUCGAAAGCAUGGGUAGCGAACAGGAUUAGAUACCCUGGUAGUCCAUGCCGUAAACGAUGAGUGCUAAGUGUUGGGAGGGUUUCCGCCUCUCAG
rnacentral:rRNA from 1 species